rnacentral:rRNA from 1 species
AGUGAACGCUGGCGGCAUGCCUAACACAUGCAAGUCGAACGGCAACGGGCCUACGGGUGCCGAUGAGUGGUGGACGGGGGCGUAAUACAGCGGAAGGUGUCGGAUCGUGGUGGUUCACGGGGGGAAAGGUUGGCUAAUACAGCAUACGACCUACGGAUGCCAGCAGGGGACCGCAAGGCAUCUCGGGGACUGAGCGGACGAUGGCAGAUUAGGUAGUUGGUGGGAUAAAAGCUUACCAAGCCGACGAUCUGUAGCUGGUCUGAGAGGAUGAUCAGCCACACUGGGACUGAGACACGGCCCAGACUCCUACGGGAGGCAGCAGUGGGGAAUUUUGGACAAUGGGCGCAAGCCUGAUCCAGCCAUGCCGCGUGCAGGAUGAAGGCCUUCGGGUUGUAAACUGCUUUUGUACGGAACGAAAAGCCUUCUUUUAAUACAGGAGGGUCAUGACGGUACCGUAAGAAUAAGCACCGGCUAACUACGUG